rnacentral:piRNA from 1 species
UGGAGUCCCACUCAUUCUUGUUUGUUUGUU